rnacentral:rRNA from 1 species
AUGAACGCUAGCGACAGGCUUAACACAUGCAAGUCGAGGGGUAACAGGGUAGCAAUACCGCUGACGACCGGCGCACGGGUGAGUAACGCGUAUGCAACCUGCCUAUAACUGGGGAAUAGCUCCCUGAAAGGGGAAUUAACACCGCAUAAUACUAUUGAUUCGCAUGGAUUAGUAGUUAAAUGUAGCGAUACAGGUUAUAGAUGGGCAUGCGUGACAUUAGCUAGUUGGUGAGGUAACGGCUCACCAAGGCUACGAUGUCUAGGGGUUCUGAGAGGAAGGUCCCCCACACUGGUACUGAGACACGGACCAGACUCCUACGGGAGGCAGCAGUGAGGAAUAUUGGUCAAUGGGCGCAAGCCUGAACCAGCCAUGUCGCGUGCAGGAAGACUGCCCCCUAUGGGUUGUAAACUGCUUUUAUAGUAGAAGAAACACAUCUACGUGUAGAUGUCUGCCAGUAUACUAUGAAUAAGCAUCGGCUAACUCCGUGCCAGCAGCAGC